rnacentral:rRNA from 1 species
ACGGAAGGCAGCAGUGGGGAAUAUUGCACAAUGGGCGCAAGCCUGAUGCAGCAACGCCGCGUGAGGGAAGACGGUCUUCGGAUUGUAAACCUUUGUCUUUGGUGAAGAAGAAAGUGACGGUAGCCAAGGAGGAAGCCACGGCUAACUACGUGCCAGCAGCCGCGGUAAUACGUAGGGAGCAAGCGUUAUCCGGAAUUACUGGGUGUAAAGGGAGUGUAGGCGGGACUGUAAGUCAGAUGUGAAAUAUGCCGGCUCAACUGGCAGACUGCAUUUGAAACUGCGGUUCUUGAGUGAAGUAGAGGUAAGCGGAAUUCCUAGUGUAGCGGUGAAAUGCGUAGAUAUUAGGAGGAACAUCAGUGGCGAAGGCGGCUUACUGGGCUUUAACUGACGCUGAGGCUCGAAAGCGUGGGGAGCAAACAGGAUUAGAUACCCUGGUA